rnacentral:SRP_RNA from 1 species
GCUGGGAGUGGUGGCACACACCUGUAGUCCCAGCUACUUGGGAGGCUGAGGCAGGAGAAUCACUUGAACCCAGGAAGUGGAGGUUGCAGUGAGCCAAGAUUAUGCCACUGCAUUCCAGCCUGGGUAAUAGAGUGAGACUCUGUCUCAA